rnacentral:lncRNA from 1 species
GUGUGUUUCGAAGUAUAUAUGUGGGUUAACUAGUUAUAAAACCCGGUUUUCCCGGAAAAUGCAUGAUUCAUUCAAGUCAGGAAUAUGGUAGUUGUUUUUAAUUGUUCAAUUGAUGUAUAUCGUUUGAUUUUGUCAGUUUUAGUCGACUAGCUUCUCCUGUUUAAAUAUGCCUUUUCGAGUUCAAUUUUUUCGUUAUAUCUUAUCAAGAUAGAAUACA